GAUCAUGGCUCAGGAUGAACGCUAGCUAUAGGCUUAACACAUGCAAGUCGAGGGGCAGCAUGGUCUUAGCUUGCUAAGGCCGAUGGCGACCGGCGCACGGGUGAGUAACACGUAUCCAACCUGCCGUCUACUCUUGGACAGCCUUCUGAAAGGAAGAUUAAUACAAGAUGGCAUAAUGAGUCCACAUGUUCACAUGAUUAAAGGUAUUCCGGUAGACGAUGGGGA
rnacentral:rRNA from 1 species